AUUGAACGCUGGCGGCAUGCUUUACACAUGCAAGUCGAACGGUAACAGGCCGCAAGGUGCUGACGAGUGGCGAACGGGUGAGUAAUGCAUCGGAACGUGCCCAGUCGUGGGGGAUAACUACUCGAAAGAGUAGCUAAUACCGCAUACGAACUAUGGAUGAAAGCGGGGGACCGUAAGGCCUCGCGCGAUUGGAGCGGCCGAUGUCGGAUUAGGUAGUUGGUGGGGUAAAGGCUCACCAAGCCAACGAUCUGUAGCUGGUCUGAGAGGACGACCAGCCACACUGGGACUGAGACACGGCCCAGACUCCUACGGGAGGCAGCAGUGGGGAAUUUUGGACAAUGGGCGCAAGCCUGAUCCAGCAAUGCCGCGUGCAGGAAGAAGGCCUUCGGGUUGUAAACUGCUUUUGUACGGAACGAAACGGCUCUGGUUAAUACCCGGGGCUAAUGACGGUACCGUAAGAAUAAGCACCGGCUAACUACGUG
rnacentral:rRNA from 1 species